rnacentral:rRNA from 1 species
UACGAAGGGGGCUAGCGUUGCUCGGAAUUAUUGGGCGUAAAGAGCUCGUAGGCGGUUUGUCGCGUCUGCUGUGAAAACCCGAGGCUCAACCUCGGGCCUGCAGUGGGUACGGGCAGACUAGAGUGCGGUAGGGGAGAUUGGAAUUCCUGGUGUAGCGGUGGAGUGCGCAGAUAUCAGGAGGAACACCAAUGGCGAAGGCAGAUCUCUGGGCCGUAACUGACGCUGAGGAGCGAAAGCAUGGGGAGCGAACAGG